UGGGGAAUAUUGCACAAUGGGCGAAAGCCUGAUGCAGCAACGCCGCGUGAGUGAUGAAGGCCUUCGGGUUGUAAAGCUCUGUCUUUUGGGACGAUAAUGACGGUACCAAAGGAGGAAGCCACGGCUAACUACGUGCCAGCAGCCGCGGUAAUACGUAGGUGGCAAGCGUUGUCCGGAUUUACUGGGCGUAAAGGAUGCGUAGGCGGAUUUUUAAGUGAGAUGUGAAAUACCCGGGCUUAACUUGGGUGCUGCAUUUCAAACUGGGAAUCUAGAGUGCGGGAGAGGAGAAUGGAAUUCCUAGUGUAGCGGUGAAAUGCAUAGAGAUUAGGAAGAACACCAGUGGCGAAGGCGAUUCUCUGGACCGUAACUGACGCUGAGGCAUGAAAGCGUGGGUAGCAAACAGGAUUAGAUACCCUGGUAGUCCACGCCGUAAACGAUGAGUACUAGGUGUAGGAGGUAUCGACCCCUUCUGUGCCGCAGUUAACACAAUAAGUACUCCGCCUGGGAAGUACGAUCGCAAGAUUAAAACUUAAAUGAAUUGACGGGGUCAUAGCUGUUUCCU
rnacentral:rRNA from 1 species